rnacentral:rRNA from 1 species
GAUGAACGCUAGCUACAGGCUUAACACAUGCAAGUCGAGGGACCGGCGCACGGGUGAGUAACACGUAUCCAACCUGCCCUUUACUCGGGGAUAGCCUUUCGAAAGAAAGAUUAAUACCCGAUAUAAAGGAUGGGGAUGCGUUCCAUUAGGUUGUUGGUGAGGUAACGGCCCACCAAGCCUUCGAUGGAUAGGGGUUCGGAGAGGCAGGUCCCCCACAUUGGAACUGAGACACGGUCCAAACUCCGAGGGGAGGCAGCAGUGUGUAGUAGUUGUCAAGCGGCGUUAGCCUGAACCAGCCAAGUAGCUGGAAGGAUGAAUGCUUAUGGGUCGUAAACUUCUUUUAUAUAAGAAUAUGUAUUAUAUGAAUAAGGAUCGGCUAACUCCGUGCCAGCAGCCGCGGUAAUUC